rnacentral:rRNA from 1 species
CCUACGGGAGGCAGCAGUAGGGAAUUUUCCUCAAUGGGCGCAAGCCUGAACGAGCAAUGCCGCGUGGACGAAGAAGGUCUUCGGAUCGUAAAAUUCUGUUGAAAGAGAAAAAGGUCCGCGAGAGUAACUGCUUUCUUUUUGAUAUUACCCUUCCAGAACGUCACGGCUAACUACGUGCCAGCAGCCGCGGUAAUACGUAGGUGGCGAGCGUUAUCCGGAAUUAUUGGGCGUAAAGGGUUCGUAGGCGGCCUUCUAAGUCUGGAGUGAAGGCGAUCGGCUCAACCGGUGCAGGCCAUUGGAACCGGGGGGAUAGAGAGGAGGAGAGGGAGGGUGAACCUCAUGUUGAGCGGUAAAAUGC